AGAGUUUGAUCCUGGCUCAGAAUCAACGCUGGCGGCGUGCCUCAGACAUGCAAGUCGAACGAUUAAAGCUCUCUUCGGAGAGUGUAUAGAGUGGCGCACGGGUGAGUAACACGUAAGUAAUCUACCUUUGAGUGGGGAAUAACGUCCGGAAACGGACGCUAAUACCGCAUAAUGCAGCGGCAUCGCAAGAUGACAGUUGUUAAAGAUUUAUCGCUUGAAGAGGAGCUUGCGGCAGAUUAGCUAGUUGGUAAGGUAAUGGCUUACCAAGGCUACGAUCUGUAACCGGUCUAAGAGGACGGUCGGUCACACUGACACUGAAUAACGGGUCAGACUCCUACGGGAGGCAGCAGUCGGGAAUUUUGGGCAAUGGGCGAAAGCCUGACCCAGCAACGCCGCGUGAAGGAUGAAGUGUUUCGGUAUGUAAACUUCGAAAGAAUGGGAAGAAUAAAUGACGGUACCAUUUAUAAGGUCCGGCUAACUACGUCCCAGCAGCCGCGGUAAUACGUAGGGACCAAGCGUUGUUCGGAUUUACUGGGCGUAAAGGGCGCGUAGGCGGCCCUACAAGUCACUUGUGAAAUCUCCGGGCUUAACUCGGAAUGGCCAAGUGAAACUGUAAGGCUAGAGUGCAGAAGGGGCAAUCGGAAUUCUUGGUGUAGCGGUGAAAUGCGUAGAUAUCAAGAGGAACACCUGAGGUGAAGACGGGUUGCUGGGCUGACACUGACGCUGAGGCGCGAAAGCCAGGGGAGCAAACGGGAUUAGAUACCCCGGUAGUCCUGGCCCUAAACGAUGAAUACUUGGUG
rnacentral:rRNA from 1 species